rnacentral:other from 1 species
GUUUUGGAACCAUUCAAAACAACAUAGCAAGUUAAA